rnacentral:rRNA from 1 species
UACGUAGGUGGCAAGCGUUGUCCGGAUUUACUGGGCGUAAAGAGCGCGCAGGCGGUCGUUCAAGUCGCGUGUGAAAGCCCCCGGCUCAACUGGGGAGGGUCACGCGAUACUGAUCGACUCGAAGGCAGGAGAGGGUAGUGGAAUUCCCGGUGUAGUGGUGAAAUGCGUAGAUAUCGGGAGGAACACCGGUGGCGAAGGCGGUUCUCUGGGCCUUCCUGGACGUCUGAGCGCGAAACGUGGGGAGGCGAACAGGAAUUGAGAC